rnacentral:rRNA from 1 species
AGUGAACGCUGGCGGUAGGCCUAACACAUGCAAGUCGAACGGCAGCACAGUAAGAGCUUGCUCUUACGGGUGGCGAGUGGCGGACGGGUGAGGAAUACAUCGGAAUCUACUUUUUCGUGGGUGAUAACGUAGGGAAACUUACGCUAAUACCGCAUACGACCUACGGGUGAAAGCAGUGGAUCUUCGGACCUUUCGCGAUUGAAUGAGCCGAUGUCGGAUUAGCUAGUUGGCGGGGUAAAGGCCCACCAAGGCGACGAUCCGUAGCUGGUCUGAGAGGAUGAUCAGCCACACUGGAACUGAGACACGGUCCAGACUCCUACGGGAGGCAGCAGUGGGGAAUAUUGGACAAUGGGCGCAAGCCUGAUCCAGCCAUACCGCGUGGGUGAAGAAGGCCUUCGGGUUGUAAAGCCCUUUUGUUGGGAAAGAAAAGCAGCAGGUUAAUACCCCGAUGUUCUGACGGUACCCAAAGAAUAAGCACCGGCUAACUUCGUG